UCAUUGAUAUAUUUUGCAUUCUGGAGAUUUUAGGAGAACGGUUGCAAAAGUUCAAGAGUCUCCAAAUACCUUAACAGUAAAAGCCAUUUAGGAUGUCAUUCUGCAGAUCUGUUUUAAAAGAUGUGUAAAUACCAGUCUACAGUAUUUACAUGCUCAUAGGAAAGAAAUUGGAAGAUUUGUUACACGUUCUAGUACAUCCUACCUGUAUUAUGAGCUAAGAAGACAUGGAAUCAUAGGAUAAUCCAAGCUGGAAGGGACCUAUGCGAAUGAACUACCCAACCUCCUGCUCAAAGCAAGGUCAACCAUAAGUAUGAGCAGGUUGCUGAACUUUUUAUUCAGUCUGAUCCUAAAAAGCUCCAAGAACAAGGACAACACAUUCUCCCUACACAGCUUGUUCCAGUUGCUUUUCUUUACUUGCCUGCAGUACCCAUGAAGAGGUUACAAGCCUGAGAGUAACGACCUCACUCUUUGAAGACGGCCGCCUAACUGAGACAGGCAAUUGUCAAAGAUCUGGGGAUGCUUCAGAAGAAAGGUCUCCAAGUGUACACUGACCAUUAGUACCACCCCCGGCACCUGUGACAGAAGGACCUGAUUUCUACACUGCUGUUCUCAAGUGAACUAUCUGAGGCUGUGAUGUAUAAAGCCAAUUCCACUGAGCAGACAGUACUACACUGAAUAUAAAUUAUCCUUUAACUACAGCAAGGCUUACACUCAAAGAAAUGCUGCAAGGAUGAACAAUGCAGCCAUGAAGCAAUAAAGAGUUCUUCUGCAGAAAAAUUACAGACCCAGAUCUGCAUGGAUAACCAUGUUUUCAGAAGACAAAUUUUGUCUCAGCUGUUACUUGAUAAAAACUAGAGUCAAUUUUGGAACAUUUGUACAUACAGAAACAUAAUUAAUGAACACCGCUUACUUUUUCCAUUAAAAAGUGAGGCAGGAAUGCUUGCCUUAUUUUCCAGACUGAGCAUCAUUCCCCUCAGCAUCGUAACAGUUGUUUUGGAAGGUGGAUAUCAACAGUCUCAAUUGAACAUGGCUUGAAAUUUAAGCACAUCUUUUCCAGAUCUCCUCAGAAGAACCGUCUGCCUACUGAGCCUACACUAAGCUCCCUGGAGCUUAGCCAUGAAUAUUCUAAACUCAUCUCUUACAAAUCACAAGAAGUCUCCUUUUGCCAAAAUAAAACACUUAAGAGGAAUUCAAUACACUUAAGCUGCUUUUCUUCAUUUCCUUUGAUUAUUUUAAAUGAAUAAUUUCUGUCUAAACUUUAUGCUAAAUAUACAGCAAGAGAGACACUCAACAGUAGAGCUAUUACCUCUGAUUUUGUACACAACUCAAAUGGGAAAACAAAUUACUUGUGACAACCUGAGAUGUUUUGUUUUGUUUUAAUCUACAUAAUUUUAUAAUUAACCAACUCUUUUGCAGUUAUACAAAGAUACUAAUGAGUAUCUUUAGAGGAAAUUUCUCUAUUGUUUAUUUAAAUUGCAGGUGGCUCUAAGAAAUGGGUCAUUUGCAGUCUAUCCUGUUUAUUUGUAUAGCAGCUUCCAUUGUGUGUGAAGAAGUUUGUAAAUAAAUGAGUAACUUUUCUCCUGUCUUACCUCUUUUGACCUGUGCAGUCUGACAGAUCAACACUGCUUCCACCGCUGACAAGCAAAAAGUGAACAUUUAUCUUUGGCUUAAUCUUUCUGUUCUCUUUGGGUUUCCUUUCAAUAAGACUCAAAGAAGGUGCUCUUUGUGGCUCAUGCCACAACGUUGUCUUUGCCAGAAUAAAAUUCAGCAAAAAAAGAAGGCAAGUUUAAGCUGAUAUCCACUAUUGUCCUCAGCUCUGCUUUGGUUCAAUAAACUUGAACAUCUUCCCCUCCUUUGCCAAUUGUGAUAAGCAGGAACAAUUACCCAAAAUGCAUUAUCAACUCAAGCUCAAAAAGACAGGAUCAGAUGAGUUGAGUCCACCUUUCUCAAGCUUACAGUUGUUUUUCAUGUCCGAGGGGGGCAAAUAAGUCCCUGUUUGCCUCUUGUCACUGAAUUCAGAGCUACUUCUUAAAGGCAACUACACCAAGGUUGCAAAAGGAAUAGAAGACAAAUCCUCUGCUUUCUACAGCCUACAGGGCUUCCGAGUGUGACCAGCAGGCUGUAGGCUUUGUGCCAUUAUGGCAAAACUCAUAAAUGAACCAUCCUUCCCUUCCCUGAAUGGUAAGAAAUAUUUUAUCCUUGCCUUUUCUGUGUUCUCUUUCCUUGCCUUUCUGUGGUCUCCAUAGCUGAAACCAAGUAUUCAUUGGACAUCACUGCAAUGCUUCUCUAACCAAUUCUAACUGCAUACGGAGCUUGAGUAAUUUAAAAUAUAUUUCAGCUUGAUCUCUGCUUUAUCCCAUUCCAGUACUCCACAUAUACAGCAACUUUAAGCUCACAGAUAUCCCUCCAUGGUUCAAGAAAAUCCUUCAAUCUAAGAACUUCAUUUACAAUCCAGCAUAGUUUCUGCUUUCUUGUCUCCCCACAGCAGCUAGACAUUUUGAUGCAAUCCUCAUUUAAUGCAAUCUCCAUUACAGGAUUAUGAUCACAUCAAUAAAAUGCUCCAUAUGGUUUUUAUUUUUGGUUGUUUUU